rnacentral:lncRNA from 1 species
GUGGAAACCUUCUUCAUCUUCUUCUUAGAGAUGCCAAUCUUAGGGUUCAUCUUUUUCUUAGAAUUCUUCUUCGCCUUCUUCUUUUUGAUCUUAUCGAUAAGAAGUACCGGAGCCUUUUCACCCUUGAAAUGGCUCUCUGUUGUUUUCAACAUAUUCAGCAGCUCUGAUAGGUUGAUGUUUAGUUUGUUCAUAUGGUAAUUUAUAACAAACUAAGAAAAGG